GAGACUGGAGAGGAAGGACAUCACAAGAUACCAAGCACCAUAUUGUCAAGAUGAUCAAGUUUUGCUUUAUUGCUGCACUGCUCAUCUUUGCUGGCUUCCCAGAGAGUACUAGUGAGUGCAGCCAAGAUUCGGACUGCAGUUGCUCUUACUGUACCUACGGAGGCAACCCUCACUGUACCCAAACAUGCACUGGAACAUGCUCGUGUAGUGGGUGCGUCAUUUAGACACUCUGAUAUGGCCCAACAAGACUUCCAAGCUAAACAGAUCAUGGGAUGCUGUGCAAAUUUUCAUAAUUUUUGCAAUAGCUUGGAAAGAAAAUCAAUAAUUAAAAUUAAAAGAUGAAAAUGUA